AUACGGAGGAUGCGAGCGUUAUCCGGAUUUAUUGGGUUUAAAGGGUGCGUAGGCGGACGAUUAAGUCAGCUGUGAAAUGCCCGCGCUUAACGCGGGAAGUGCAGUUGAUACUGGUUGUCUGGAGUGCCGUUGCCGUGGGGGGAAUGUGUAGUGUAGCGGUGAAAUGCGUAGAUAUUACACAGAACGCCGAUUGUGAAGACACCUCACGAAGCGUGAACGGAGGCGGAGGCACGAAAGGGUGGGGAUCGAACAGGAUUAGACACCCUGGUAGCCCAGGCAGUAAACGAUGUUGACUAACGGUCGGCUAUAGACCGCCGGUGGCCAAGCGAAAGCGAUAAGUCAUCCACCUGGGGAGUACGACCGCAAGGUUGAAACUCAAAUGAAUUGACGGGG
rnacentral:rRNA from 1 species